rnacentral:misc_RNA from 1 species
GUUGUGAAGAUGACAUUGCCAAAGUAACCGUUGGGGAGCGGCGGGCGCAACCGGGCACGACCGUCGGUGGCAAUGUAAAGCUUAGUGUCUUGAUCCUCCGGAAGGUCACGAGCCUUGCACGUGCACCGCCAUACGUGGCCGGAGAGCAUCUCGUAGGAGCUGUAGUUGGUGGUGUUGCCGUUUUCUUUGGAUUUGGCUUUGAGUAAAUUAAGCUGCUCCCGGGUGAAUUUGAAAAUGGAGACGGUGGUUCCGUCCGGGUCGGGCUGGACCGGGAUUUUCAUGGGUGGGGCCGGUUGAUAUUCGAUGUGUCGGAAGGUCGGUUGAGGUGGGUCCCGCGCACGGAGGAGGGUCCGGUCGAUGUAAGGCCGGAGCUUGAGGUCGAUGCCACGCGACAUGUCGGACCAAGUGUUGACGAAGUGGAGACCGGAGAAGCCGUCCGCUACAUGGUGCUGCAUUCCGACGCCGAGGGAAACGCCACCGCAUUUGAAGUGUGUCACCUGUAACACCAGCAAGGGGUACGACUCGAUUCCGCCGGAGUAAUCUACUGCCGGAAUAAGCUGCCGGAGCUGCAACGUAGGCGCGAAAUCACCGAAAUCGUCGAUAACCGCCGUGGUCUCAGCCUCGACAAGAAGCACACCUUCGGCAUUACAGUUGAUCUCGAUUCGACCGUCUUCAUCGCGUCUCAACCGUCCGGCCAUUGGAU